GGGAGAUGUGGGGACACUGAGACACUUGGGGACACUGUGAGACAUGGGGACGCUGUGAGACAAAGGGAGACACAUUGGGACACAGGGACACAGUGUCUCCAUGUCUCCCAGUGUCCCCAUGUCUCAGUGUCCCCAAAUGUCUGUGUCCCCAUGUCUUCCU